rnacentral:rRNA from 1 species
AACGAACGCUGGCGGCAUGCCUAACACAUGCAAGUCGAACGCGUGACUUCGGUCACGAGUGGCGCACGGGUGAGUAGCGCGUGGGAACCUGCCUUUGGGUUCGGGAUAACCGCGGGAAACUGCGGCUAAUACCGGAUGUCCCCUACGGGGGAAAGAUUUAUCGCCCGAAGAGGGGCCCGCGUCCGAUUAGGUAGUUGGUGAGGUAACGGCUCACCAAGCCUUCGAUCGGUAGCUGGUCUGAGAGGAUGAUCAGCCACACUGGGACUGAGA